AACGAACGCUGGCGGCGUGUUUAAGACAUGCAAGUCGCACGGGAUCAUUUUGGUAGCAAUACUCGGAUGGUCCAGUGGCGCACGGGUGAGUAACACGUGAAUGACAUGCCCUUCAGUGGGGGAUAGCCCAGGGAAACUUGGAUUAAUACCCCAUGGUCUCGCGAGAGUAAAGGUGGCGCAAGCUGCCGCUGGAGGAUUGGUUCGCGUUCUAUCAGCUUGUUGGCGGGGUAACGGCCCACCAAGGCUACGACGGAUACCUGGUCUGAGAGGACGAUCAGGCACACUGGAACUGAGACACGGUCCAGACACCUACGGGUGGCAGCAGUCGAGAAUAAUUCACAAUGGGGGCAACCCUGAUGGUGCAACGCCGCGUGGAGGAUGAAGGUCUUCGGAUUGUAAACUCCUGUCAUCCGGGAGCAAGACCUGGCGGUCAAUAGCCGACAGGGUUGAUAGUACCGGAAGAGGAAGGGACGGCUAACUUCGUGCCAGCAGCCGCCGUAAAAC
rnacentral:rRNA from 1 species